GCUUUUGCUGUGGGCAUCUGUCACAUGCCCACAACCUAAGUUUUUUUUUUUUGUCUUUUUCUUUGGCAUUUGGGUUGCUAUGGGAAUCAUGUCACAUGCCCACAGCGUAAUUAAAUUUUUUUGUCUUUUUGUUUGGCCUUUGGGUAACCCAAAGGUUGGCCUUGGGUAACCCAAAGGCCAAACAACUAUAAUGCAAAGGCUGUGAGAUUAUAAAUUCAUGCAAAUCCGCCUCCUGACCUUCGCGCCCAUCUUUCUUUCCUUCGUAUUCUUUCUUCCCCUUUCCUUCUUUUGCCGGUGCUUAGCACCCUUAAGCUAUCUUCUCCUCUCUCUUUUUUCUUUUCAGUUCUUACAUAUCUUCCUAAAAUUAUUUUUGUCCUCUUUUUUUCGUCGCUUGAAAAGAAGUCGCGUGAAAAGAAGGCAAAGACAUUUCAUAUUGCAGAUUUGCUUGUUAGGUAAGUCAAAAAAAUUAUAAUUUAAAUUUUUUAUUUAUAAAUAUAGGGGCUAGUUUUUAAUUGACAUAUCUGAUCCAGCACAGACAUCCACUUUCUUUUCGCAAAUUAUUUUAUCAAAAUUUCUCGCACCGUGAAGCGUUCGGCGAAUCAGGGUAAACAACAUCAAUCAUAAUUUCUUUUUUUUUUCUUUUUUCUUUUUUUUCUUGUCG
rnacentral:lncRNA from 1 species